GGGGCCAUAGCUCAGCUGGGAGAGCGCUACGCUGGCAGCGUAGAGGUCAGGGGUUCGAGUCCCCUUGGCUCCA
rnacentral:tRNA from 2 species